CGGUNCGCUAACCGCAAGGAGGCAGCCGGCCACGGUAGGGUCAGCGACUGGGGUG
rnacentral:rRNA from 1 species